rnacentral:rRNA from 1 species
UACAGAGGGGGCAAGCGUUGUUCGGAAUUACUGGGCGUAAAGGGCGCGUAGGCGGCCUGUUAAGUCGAACGUGAAAUCCCUGGGCUCAACCCAGGAACUGCGUCCGAUACUGGCAGGCUUGAAUUCGGGAGAGGGAUGCGGAAUUCCAGGUGUAGCGGUGAAAUGCGUAGAUAUCUGGAGGAACACCGGUGGCGAAGGCGGCAUCCUGGACCGAUAUUGACGCUGAGGCGCGAAAGCCAAGGGAGCAAACGGG